rnacentral:tRNA from 1 species
GCCGGAGUGGUGGAAUUGGCAGACACGCUAGCUUGAGGGGCUAGUCCGCUUCACGGCGGGUGCAGGUUCAAGUCCUGUCUCCGGCA